CCUACGGGAGGCAGCAGUGAGGAAUAUUGGUCAAUGGGCGAGAGCCUGAACCAGCCAAGUAGCGUGAGGGAAGACGGUCCUAUGGAUUGUAAACCUCUUUUGCCGGGGAGCAAAAAGCAGUAUGUAUACCGCUUUGAGAGUACCUGGAGAAAAAGCAUCGGCUAACUCCGUGCCAGCAGCCGCGGUAAUACGGAGGAUCCGAGCGUUAUCCGGAUUUAUUGGGGUUAAAGGGUGCGGAGGCGGGCUGUUAAGUCCGGGGGAAAAUUUUGGGGCCUAAACCCCAAAAGGCCGUUGAUACUGGCUUGCUUGAGUAGGCGAGAGGUAUGCGGAAUGCGUGGUGUAGCGGUGAAAUGCUUAGAUAUCACGCAGAACUCCGAUUGCGAAGGCAGCCUGCUGGCGCCUAACUGACGCUGAGGCACGAAAGCGUGGGUAUCGAACAGGAUUAGAUACCCCAGUAGUC
rnacentral:rRNA from 1 species